UACGAAGGGGGCUAGCGUUGCUCGGAAUCACUGGGCGUAAAGGCGCGUAGGCGGCCAUUCAAGUCGGAGGUGAAAGCCCAGGGCUCAACCCUGGAAUUGCCUUCGAUACUGUCUGGCUAGAGACCGGAAGAGGUAAGUGGAACUGCGAGUGUAGAGGUGAAAUUCGUAGAUAUUCGGAAGAACACCAGUGGCGAAGGCGGCUCACUGGCCCGGUACUGACGCUGAGGUGCGGAAAGCGUGGGGAGCAACAGGG
rnacentral:rRNA from 1 species